rnacentral:lncRNA from 1 species
AAAUUUCUCUUGGGUUUCUAAUGAGUAUUUCUGCUCUUUUUUUCUGAUUCAUGAUGGGAUCUCUGUCAUGAGGUCUUAAGUCACGCUAAGUUACUUGGGGCCUUUUCUGACUUCUGGAGCAGACCACUCAGGCGGAUCUGUGACCCCAAGUGACAGCACCCACAGCCGGAGAGAAGCCCUUUCAGACAGUUUGGAAGGCACAAAAGCUAAUUCUUCUGCCUCCUUCAUGUCUCAAAGCAUAAAAAUCCUCCAAUCUCCUGCCUGGAAGGUGGACGCCUGGCUGUCCACCUUCUGGGGACAGAUGAAGGCAAAGGGCUGGGGCUGUCUCAGCACACAGUCUGUAAACUUAAUCCCACUGUAGUCAUCUGUGCUGCUUGUUGACCCUCUGUUGUUCCUUCUUCGGAGAAUAAAACUCCUGUCUCUGCCAGCUUUUGGGGAGAGGCAGCAACCGGACUGCAUGGCGAGUGGGAGGGUGUGGAGUCUGGCUUCUAACAGCCCGUUUUCAGGCUCGGAAGCUCCACUGUAGCAGGACAAGCCGCAGACAAAACUCCUCAGACACCGAGUUAAAGAAGGAAGUGGUUUAUUCGGCAGGGAACAUCGGCAAGACUCCUGUCUCAAGAGCCGAGCUCCCCGAGUGAGCAAUUCCUGUCCCUUUUAAGGGCUCACAACUCUAAGGGGGUCUGCGUGAGAGGGUCGUGAUCGAUUGAGCAAGCAGCGGGUAUGUGACUGGAGGCUGCAUGUACCAGUAAUCAGAAUGGUAAUCAGAACAAAACAGAACAGGACAGGGAUUUUUACAAUGCCUUUCCAUACAAUGUCUGGAAUCUAUAGAUAACAUAACCGGUUAGGUCAGGGGUCGAUCUUUA